rnacentral:rRNA from 1 species
GACGUAGGGGGCGAGCGUUGUCCGGAUUUACUGGGCGUAAAGGGCGCGUAGGCGGUCAGCACAAGUCAGUUGUGAAAUCUCCGGGCUUAACUCGGAAAGGUCAACUGAUACUGUGCGACUAGAGUGCAGAAGGGGCAACUGGAAUUCUCGGUGUAGCGGUGAAAUGCGUAGAUAUCGAGAGGAACACCUGCGGCGAAGGCGGGUUGCUGGGCUGACACUGACGCUGAUGCGCGAAAGCCAGGGGAGCGAACGGG